UACGUAGGGCGCAAGCGUUGUCCGGAAUUAUUGGGCGUAAAGAGCUCGUAGGCGGCCUGUUGCGUCCGCUGUUAAAUCCCGGGGCUCAACCCCGGGCCUGCAGUGGAUACGGGCUGGCUGGAGGCAGGCAGGGGAGAACGGAAUUCCUGGUGUAGCGGUGAAAUGCGCAGAUAUCAGGAGGAACACCGGUGGCGAAGGCGGUUCUCUGGGCCUUACCUGACGCUGAGGAGCGAAAGCGUGGGGAGCAAACAGG
rnacentral:rRNA from 1 species